rnacentral:rRNA from 1 species
GAUGAACGCUGGCGGCGUGCCUAAUACAUGCAAGUCGAGCGAAUGAUGAGGAGCUUGCUCCUCUGAUUUAGCGGCGGACGGGUGAGUAACACGUGGGUAAUCUGCCUGUAAGACGGGGAUAACUCCGGGAAACCGGGGCUAAUACCGGAUACAAGAGAAGAAGCAUUUCUUCUUUUUGAAAGUCGGUUUUGGCUGACACUUACAGAUGAGCCCGCGGCGCAUUAGCUAGUUGGUGAGGUAACGGCUCACCAAGGCGACGAUGCGAAGCCGACCGGAGAGGGUGAGCGGCCACACUGGGACUGAUACACGGACCAGACUCCUACGGGAGGCAGCAGAAGGGAAUCUUCGGCAAUGGGCGAAAGCCUGACCGAGCAACGCCGCGUGAGCGAUGAAGGCCUUCGGGUCGUAAAGCUCUGUUGUUAGAGAAGAACAAGUACGAGAGUAACUGCUCGUACCUUGACGGUACCUAACCAGAAAGCCACGGCUAACUACGUGCCAGCCGCCGCAGUAA